rnacentral:misc_RNA from 1 species
GAGUGAGGGCCGAAAGGCCCGACCUCCAACCCUUUGUCAUCCGACUCUGUUGCCUCGGGGGCGACCCGGCCUUCGGGCGUCUUGGGGCCCCCGGUGGAAUAUAACACUGCAUCUUUGCGUCCGAGUAAACCUUUGAAUUAAUCAAAACUUUUAACAACGGAUCUCUUGGUUCU